rnacentral:rRNA from 1 species
CCCAGACUCCUACGGGAGGCAGCAGUGGGGGAUAUUGCACAAUGGGGGGAACCCUGAUGCAGCGACGCCGCGUGGGUGAAGGAGCGUUUCGGCGCGUAAAGCCCUAUCGGCAGGGAAGAAGGAGGACGGUACCUGACUAAGAAGCCCCGGCUAACUACGUGCCAGCAGCCGCGGUAAUACGUAGGGGGCAAGCGUUAUCCGGAUUUACUGGGUGUAAAGGGGGCGCAGACGGCAGCGCAAGCCAGGAGUGAAAGCCCGGGGCCCAACCCCGGGACUGCUCUUGGAACUGCGCGGCUGGAGUGCAGGAGGGGCAGGCGGAAUUCCUGGUGUAGCGGUGAAAUGCGUAGAUAUCAGGAGGAACACCGGUGGCGAAGGCGGCCUGCUGGACUGCGACUGACGUUGAGGCCCGAAAGCGUGGGGAGCAAACAGGAUUAGAUACCCUUGUACGC